GAUGAACGCUAGCUACAGGCUUAACACAUGCAAGUCGAGGGGAAACGACAUCGAAAGCUUGCUUUUGAUGGGCGUCGACCGGCGCACGGGUGAGUAACGCGUAUCCAACCUGCCCACCACUUGGGGAUAACCUUGCGAAAGUAAGACUAUUACCCAAUGAUAUCUCUAGAAGACAUCUGAAAGGGAUUAAAGAUUUAUCGGUGAUGGAUGGGGAUGCGUCUGAUUAGCAUGUUGGCGGGGUAACGGCCCACCAAGGCGACGAUCAGUAGGGGUUCUGAGAGGAAGGUCCCCCACAUUGGAACUGAGACACGGUCCAAACUCCUACGGGAGGCAGCAGUGAGGAAUAUUGGUCAAUGGACGAGAGUCUGAACCAGCCAAGUAGCGUGCAGGAUGACGGCCCUAUGGGUUGUAAACUGCUUUUAUAAGGGAAUAAAGUGAGUCUCGUGAGACUUUUUGCAUGUACCUUAUGAAUAAGGACCGGCUAAUUCCGUGCCAGCCGCCGCGGUAA
rnacentral:rRNA from 1 species